rnacentral:rRNA from 1 species
CCUACGAGGGGCAGCAGUGGGGAAUAUUGGGCAAUGGAGGCAACUCUGACCCAGCAACGCCGCAUGAAUGAUGAAGGUCUUCGGAUUGUAAAGUUCUGUGAUGGGGGAUGAACACAAUGACGGUACCCCAAUAGCAAGCCACGGCUAACUACGUACCAGCAGCCGCGGGAAUACGUAGGUGGCACGCGUUAUCCGGAAUGACUGGUCGUAAGGGUCGCGUAGGUGGUUUAGUAAGUUGGCGGUGUAAUUCCGGGGCUCAACCUCGGCGCUACCGCCAAAACUAUUAGACUAGAGUGCAGGAGGGGUGAGUGGAAUUCCUAGUGUAGCGGUGGAAUGCGUAGAUAUCAGGAGGAACAUCAGGGGCGAAGGCGACUUACUGGACUGUAACUGACACUGAGGCACGAAAGCGUGGGGAGCAAACAGGAUUAGAUACCCGGGUAGUC